rnacentral:lncRNA from 1 species
AGGAGCCCAGAGUUUUUAGUAUUUGGCAACCCGCGUCUCUAGCACGUGAGACCCGAUGCGCAUUUCACUUCCACUCUGCCUUUCACGUGACGGCAUCUGCAUUGCACAUCCCUGGCGGAGACAAUGAGAAUACUCGGACGAACAGAGAUUUAAAAAUUAUUCGCCACUGUCACGAUCAACCAGCUCGCGGUUCUGAGAUGAGAAGAUCGCACCGAGUGCUUUGCAAUACUAUUUCUAUGCGGAUCACCAAUACGUCUCAAGGGCCAUACCGAGGAUAAAUAUAAACCCUAACUACGAUUAUAACAUCCAUAUAUCGUAUUUCUAUACCUCUACUUCUCGUGUACAUCUAGAGAAGGGGGAAAUAUUCUCAACGGUUGGAAUACGGAGGAUCGAAUAACGACGUCUAACUUCUAGUUAUAAACAUCAAAACAUGAAUAACAGGGUGACGAUCAAGGCUAUCCACUAGCUUUGCCAUGACUCUUGUGAAUUCUUCCCAUUCUUUGUCAACUUCUUCCUCGCUUCCCUCGGGAUGAUGAUGGAAAGGAGGAUGGUGACCACCCUCCCGGUCGUCGGGCAACUCCAUUUUGCCAGUUUGUCCCGACAUUUCUACUUCUUGGCCGGUUUUGUCAGAAAAUUGGCGGCAAUAAACAGGCGCGAGGAAUGAAAUUCCAUAAAAAAGUAUCAAAAAAGCUGCGCUGCUUCGUCGGCUCUGAGCGUGGUAGAUACUGCAGCAGCACCGACAACAGCAAUGAGUCACUUUGGAGGACAAGAAGAAUGAAACAUCUACUAAAUCAACUACGGUGGAAGUUGUGAACCUUCUGCUGCAGAAUAGCCCACGCUAUGCACGGUAGCAACAGCGCGUUCGUCGAGCUCAUCAGCCAAUUUACAGAUUAGCCACACCAUCGCAAAAUAUUCUCUACGUAUACGUUGUCGAACCUCCAACACCUCGAUAAACUUAUGUCGCGCCAAUUUGUACCCCGCGCUACUCGACCCUUCCCGACUUGAUACGAUCCAAGAUUUUCUCCUUCCAUCUUACACAGCCAAGGAAUUUCCUCCGCGUCAGGAUAAAUUGGGAGCAAUGUUCUACGAUGACCUUAUAAACAGGGAGAAUCAUACGUACACCUCACAGAAUGCUCCGACUCACCCGACGGUCGUUCGUUGCAUCCGAUGUGAUAUUCGGUUCUGUCAUCACCUGUGACAGAAUGCUCAGCGAUCUCCUUCACUCGUCUCAACUUUCCUCAUUGAAUCGGCUGUAUCAAUCUGGAGGACACUUCUUGGCGCAACCAUUUUCGUCACCGUUGUUUCCUUUAUCGUUCGUCGAUUAUUGCAUCCUCGUUACAAGUAUGUACACAUAUACUUAAAGUCCAGAGCGAGACACUGGGAGCAGCAACUCUUACCUAUGAAUACCUGUACCCAUUCGCAUACUCUGUAUUAUACAUACAUAUGAGUAUGUAUCAUGUACAGAUUGUGCUACCGGUGCGAAUUUAUUGUCAACCUCCUCACAUCGAGUGCAAUAAUGCUAUAACAUUGCAUCAGGAUAUGAUAAGAGGACAGAAAUCAUCAAAUUGUUCGAAUUCUUGGCACGCAACAUUACUUUUCCACGAGUCAUCGCUUUGCGUCGAACCUCAUGACAAGAACUUGAACCGACACAACGCAAAUGAAGCAAAAAUAAAAGACAACGAAAAAUGGGAGAGGAAAGAAGACACUUGAUUCACGCAAAUAGUCAUCAAUAAUCGAAGUUUUCCUGCCUGCUGUUCAAACUGAGCUGCUCCCUGCUGUAAAGCAUCGGCUCUGUUGUCUAGUUCGGACAGUUUUUGAUCGCGCUC